UAGAAGCGCGUUGCUGGCAGGUAUUAAUACAUGCAGUCGAGGGGUAACAUGAGAGCUUGCUCUUGAUGACGACCGGCGCACGGGUGCGUAACGCGUAUGCGACCUACCCACUACAGGGGGAUAGCCACUGGAAACAGUGAUUAAUACCCCAUAAUGAUUUUCAGUUGCCUGACUGGAUUUUUAAAGAUUUAUCGGUAGUGGAUGGGCAUGCGUAAGAUUAGCUAGUUGGUGGUGUAACGGACCACCAAGGCGACGAUCUUUAGCGGGUCUGAGAGGAUGAUCCGCCACACUGGUACUGAGACACGGACCAGACUCCUACGGGAGGCAGCAGUAGGGAAUAUUGGUCAAUGGGGGGAACCCUGAACCAGCCAUGCCGCGUGCAGGAAGACAGCCUUCUGGGUUGUAAACUGCUUUUAUCAGGGGGGAAUUGUCGGGAUGCGUCCCGAAGUUGACAGUACCUGAUGAAUAAGCACCGGCUAACUCCGUGCCAGCAGCCGCGGUAAUACGGAGGGUGCGAGCGUUGUCCGGAUUUAUUGGGUUUAAAGGGUGCGUAGGCGGAUUAAUAAGUCAGUGGUGAAAGUCUUAGGCUUAACCUAAGGAUUGCCAUUGAUACUGUUAGUCUUGAGUAAAGUCGAGGUAGGCGGAAUUUAUGGUGUAGCGGUGAAAUGCAUAGAUACCAUAAGGAACACCGAUAGCGCAGGCAGCUUACUAGACUAUAACUGACGCUGAGGCACGAAAGCGUGGGUAGCGAACAGGAUUAGAUACCCUGGUAGUCCACGCCGUAAACGAUGAUCACUCGAUGUAUGCGAUAUAUUGUAUGCGUCCCAGCGAAAGCGAUAAGUGAUCCACCUGGGGAGUACGCCGGCAACGGUGAAACUCACAUGAAUUUGACGG
rnacentral:rRNA from 1 species